rnacentral:rRNA from 1 species
UACGUAGGGGGCAAGCGUUGUCCGGAUUUAUUGGGCGUAAAGCGCUCGCAGGUGGUCCGUUGCGUCGUGCGUGAAAGACCCCGGCUCAACUGGGGAGGGUCAUUCGAUACUGAUCGACUCGAAGGCAGGAGAGGGUAGUGGAAUUCCCGGUGUAGUGGUGAAAUGCGUAGAUAUCGGGAGGAACACCAGUGGCGAAGGCGACUACCUGGCCUGUUCUUGACGCUGAGGCGCGAAAGCUAGGGGAGCAAACGGG